AUGUUUAUUUCGUUCGAGCAACCCUCCAUUGACUGGUUCCAACCUGAAACCAACAUCAAGUUUCUGCGGUUCAGACAACACCUAUACUUCGUUUUCAUGGUACCGUUAUGUAAAGCAGACAAAAAGGACAAGGUUGGAUGGACGACACCCCUAGAGGCAGUGAAUUUAUCUCCCUCAAAAAUUCUUAUGGGAAGGAUGCCACUCAAUUCAUCUGAUACUCUGCUAUCAAAGAGCCAAAAUCUUGAUAUUAUAAAGCAGAGUCUACAGCCAGUCAAGGACAAGUAUAAAGCCAGUUUCGACAACAGAUUCAAAAGCAAAGAGCUGUUGUUGCUCUAUCCAACAGACCCAGUAAGAAUCAUGCCGCAGCAGGGAUAG
rnacentral:sRNA from 1 species